ACGUGCAAUUAUUUGCUAGUCUCACUGCUUUUUUUCAUUCAAAACUGAAAUCUAUAUCUAUGUUGUAUCUAGACAAAAGAUCUGAUGGAUAGUAGCAGUGAGUUUUGAAAGGAGGCUAGUGAAUUCAGUGAUCACGAAACAGACAGGGACGUGUGUGAAGUGAAUCUUAGCUUACUCGAGAGAUGCGUUUUAUGGCAAAAAGUGGGCUAAAACUCUUCCCGCUUCUUCUCGUACACGAAACCAGAGUGUUGUAUCUUUUGUUCCUAAGAAAAAUCGUGUGGUGUGGUUAGUAUCGGUAUGCAUCAUUCCAAUAUAAUGAUUCAUGGAAAGCCAGACAUUGUAAAUGUUUACAGUCAGGCAAAAGGUGGGGUGGACUCAAUGGAUCAGAAAUGUGCAUGCUACAAAACUGGCAAAAAAACUCGUAGAUGAUCUCAAGUAAUAUGGUUUUACAUUUUGGACAUUGCAGAAGGCAAGAACUUAUUAGGGCUCAUUUGACUUGCAGAGUUCAGCAAAUAAAUGUUUCAUGUUUACCGAGAGAACUUUGUGGUUUAAUUUUUAAAGUUUCCGGAAUUCAAGAACCAGUGCCUGCCGCUUAUCCAGAUCCACAACUAGGAAAAAAGGGGGGAAGAUGUAAAACAUGUCCAUAUUUAAAAAAACAAAGAAGGAGAGCUCAACGUGCGAUAACCGUCGACAAUUUAUUUGCAAAAAUCAUGCCUGAACGAAGAUGGUAUGCAGCGUUGAAAAGUAGCAGUUAGAAUCCCUAAAAUUUACCAGUGGAUACAAAAAAUUGCAGUUUUUGCAAUUGCAAUUUUUUUUAUUUUCUUAAUAAAGUUAUCACAAUUAAGC